GACGAUCGAUGGCGGGGCGCUUCUUCGACAUGGGGCGGCAAGGAGGCUCGGUGUGGUUCCGUGGUCCAGCGAGCUCGGCCCAAGGCUCAUGCACACCGAGGAGCAAACCCAUCACGAAAUUAUGCGUGAGGUCCAGCAGAAGAAGGAAGAACUCUACGAUUUGAUCCGGGAGGAGGAGGCUAGGACUAGUACCUGGGACAACUCUUUGCUACUCGAGCGUCUUUCUGAAGAUGUCAACCCAAGAUAUGACCGUCGAUGGCACGAACUACAGGUCACGAGACGGCAUAUUGCCUGGUUCAAGCUAGCAAGGUUGUAUGUAUUAUUACUCACGGCCCUUCAAUUCUAUAUACCUCACAAACGUUAUAGCGACGCGAAGAGCUCAGGCCAUGAUGAUACAACAAGAACAUGAAGCAAGAGAAGUGGAGACAGGACCUCACUUGAUGGAGAACUAGUCUUGACGCAAGAAGGAACAAAAACAUCUUGUUUGAUGGAGAAGCUGACGCUUCCUCUUCAGAUGGCGAUGAAUUCAUAUGGUGCUUCAUCCAUCUUCAGUCCAAACAGAACAGAUAAAUAGACAGUGAGGGAGGAGGAAGCCAUAUGGUUUAUAGACUAUUUGUAACAAUUUACUCUUUUUUGCUGAAAGUUUUGGUUUGGAGCUUGGGUCAAUAAUGCAGGUUCACAAGAGUAUUUCAGCACAGUUUUGCAUGUGUAUA